AGAGUUUGAUCAUGGCUCAGGACGAACGCUGGCGGCGUGCUUAACACAUGCAAGUCGAACGGUGAAGCAGAGCUUGCUCUGCGGAUCAGUGGCGAACGGGUGAGUAACACGUGAGUAACCUGCCCCUGACUCUGGGAUAAGCGUUGGAAACGACGUCUAAUACCGGAUACGACCCGCGAAGGCAUCUUCUGUGGGUGGAAAGAACUUCGGUUGGGGAUGGACUCGCGGCCUAUCAGCUUGUUGGUGAGGUAAUGGCUCACCAAGGCGACGACGGGUAGCCGGCCUGAGAGGGUGACCGGCCACACUGGGACUGAGACACGGCCCAGACUCCUACGGGAGGCAGCAGUGGGGAAUAUUGCACAAUGGGCGCAAGCCUGAUGCAGCAACGCCGCGUGAGGGACGACGGCCUUCGGGUUGUAAACCUCUUUUAGUAGGGAAGAAGCGAAAGUGACGGUACCUGCAGAAAAAGCACCGGCUAACUACGUGCCAGCAGCCGCGGUAAUACGUAGGGUGCGAGCGUUGUCCGGAAUUAUUGGGCGUAAAGAGCUCGUAGGCGGUUUGUCGCGUCUGCUGUGAAAACUGGAGGCUCAACCUCCAGCUUGCAGUGGGUACGGGCAGACUAGAGUGCGGUAGGGGAGAUUGGAAUUCCUGGUGUAGCGGUGGAAUGCGCGAUAUCAGGAGGAACACCGAUGGCGAAGGCAGAUCUCUGGGCCGUAACUGACGCUGAGGAGCGAAAGCGUGGGGAGCGAACAGGAUUAGAUACCCUAGUAGUCC
rnacentral:rRNA from 1 species